GGGCGAAAGCCUGACGGAGCAACGCCGCGUGAGUGAUGAAGGUCUUCGGAUCGUAAAACUCUGUUAUUAGGGAAGAACAAAUGUGUAAGUAACUAUGCACGUCUUGACGGUACCUAAUCAGAAAGCCACGGCUAACUACGUGCCAGCAGCCGCGGUAAUACGUAGGUGGCAAGCGUUAUCCGGAAUUAUUGGGCGUAAAGCGCGCGUAGGCGGUUUUUUAAGUCUGAUGUGAAAGCCCACGGCUCAACCGUGGAGGGUCAUUGGAAACUGGAAAACUUGAGUGCAGAAGAGGAAAGUGGAAUUCCAUGUGUAGCGGUGAAAUGCGCAGAGAUAUGGAGGAACACCAGUGGCGAAGGCGACUUUCUGGUCUGUAACUGACGCUGAUGUGCGAAAGCGUGGGGAUCAAACAGGAUUAGAUACCCUGGUAGUCCACGCCGUAAACGAUGAGUGCUAAGUGUUAGGGGGUUUCCGCCCCUUAGUGCUGCAGCUAACGCAUUAAGCACUCCGCCUGGGGAGUACGACCGCAAGGUUGAAACUCAAAGGAAUUGACGGGGACCCGCACAAGCGGUGGAGCAUGUGGUUUAUUUCGAAGCAACGCGAAGAACCUUACCAAAUCUUGACAUCCUCUGACCCCUCUAGAGA
rnacentral:rRNA from 1 species